CCCUUAGAUGUUCUGGGCCGCACGCGCGCUACACUGAUGCAUUCAACGAGUUUCUUCCUGGUCCGAGAGGAAUGGGUAACCUUUUGAAAGUGCAUCGUGAUAGGGAUAGACUAUUGCAAUUAUUGGUCUUCAACGAGGAAUUCCUAGUAGACGAAGUUCAUCAGACUGCAUCGAUUACGUCCCUGCCCUUUGUACACACCGCCCGUCGCUCCUACCGAUUGAAUGCUCAGGUGAGCCAUUCGGACUUUCAUCAUGCUGGUUUCCAGUUUUGAUGAAGGAAAGUCUUGCGAACCUUAUCAUUUAGAGGAAGGAGAAGUCGUAACA
rnacentral:rRNA from 1 species